rnacentral:rRNA from 1 species
AGUUUGAUCAUGGCUCAGGAUGAACGCUAGCGGCAGGCUUAACACAUGCAAGUCGAGGGGUAUUGGUUUUCGGACCAAGAGACCGGCGCACGGGUGCGUAACGCGUAUGCAAUCUACCUUUUGCAGAGGGAUAGCCCAGAGAAAUUUGGAUUAAUACCUCAUAGUAUAGUACUUUGGCAUCAAGGAACUAUUAAAGUCACAACGGCAAAAGAUGAGCAUGCGUCCCAUUAGCUAGUUGGUAAGGUAAUGGCUUACCAAGGCUACGAUGUUUAGGGGAUCUGAGAGGAUGGCCCCCCACACUGGUACUGAGACACGGACCAGACUCCUACGGGAGGCAGCAGUAAGGAAUAUUGGUCAAUGGGGCGGAAGCCUGAACCAGCCAUGCCGCGUGCAGGAAGACGGCCCUAUGGGUUGUAAACUGCUUUUGUACCGGAAUAAACCCUUUUACGUGUAAGAGGCUGAAUGUACGGUAAGAAUAAGGAUCGGCUAACUCCGUG